rnacentral:rRNA from 1 species
AUACGGAGGGUGCAAGCGUUGUCCGGAUUUAUUGGGUUUAAAGGGUGCGUAGGCGGAAAGCUAAGUCAGUGGUGAAAUACUACGGCUCAACCGUAGAACUGCCAUUGAAACUGGUUUUCUUGAGUAUAGUUGAGGUAGGCGGAAUUUAUGGUGUAGCGGUGAAAUGCAUAGAUACCAUAAAGAACACCGAUAGCGAAGGCAGCUUACUAAACUAUAACUGACGCUGAGGCACGAAAGCGUGGGUAGCGAACAGGAUUAGAAACCCGAGUAGUCC